AUUGAACGCUGGCGGCAGGCCUAACACAUGCAAGUCGAGCGGAAACGAGUUAACUGAACCUUCGGGGAACGUUAAUGGCGUCGAGCGGCGGACGGGUGAGUAAUGCCUAGGAAAUUGCCCUGAUGUGGGGGAUAACCAUUGGAAACGAUGGCUAAUACCGCAUGAUGCCUACGGGCCAAAGAGGGGGACCUUCGGGCCUCUCGCGGUCAGGAUAUGCCUAGGUGGGAUUAGCUAGUUGGUGAGGUAAGGGCUCACCAAGGCAACGAUCCCUAGCUGGUCUGAGAGGAUGAUCAGCCACACUGGAACUGAGACACGGUCCAGACUCCUACGGGAGGCAGCAGUGGGGAAUAUUGCACAAUGGGCGCAAGCCUGAUGCAGCCAUGCCGCGUGUAUGAAGAAGGCCUUUCGGGUUGUAAAGUACUUUCAGUCGUGAGGAAGGCGUUGUCGUUAAUAGCGG
rnacentral:rRNA from 1 species